rnacentral:hammerhead_ribozyme from 1 species
GUGUUGAUGGGGAGUCCCACAAUAGGACGAAACGGCCGUCCAAUGC